AUUGAACGCUGGCGGCAUGCUUUACACAUGCAAGUCGAACGGUAACAGGUUAAGCUGACGAGUGGCGAACGGGUGAGUAAUGCAUCGGAACGUGCCCGAUCGUGGGGGAUAACGCAGCGAAAGCUGCGCUAAUACCGCAUACGAUCUGAGGAUGAAAGCGGGGGACCGUAAGGCCUCGCGCGAUCGGAGCGGCCGAUGUCAGAUUAUGUAGUUGGUGGGGUAAAGGCCUACCAAACCGACGAUCUGUAGCUGGUCUGAGAGGACGACCAGCCACACUGGGACUCAGAAACGGGCCAUACUCCGACGGGGGGGAGCAGUGGGGAAUUAUGGCCAAUGGGCGCAAGCCUGAGUCCGCAAUGCCGCGUGCAGGAAGAAGGCCGUCGGGUUGUAACCUGCUUUUGUACGGAGCGAAAAAGCUCUCGCUAAUACAGGGGGCUCAUGACGGUACCGUAAGAAUAAGCACCGGCUAACUACGUGCCAGCCGCCGCGGUAA
rnacentral:rRNA from 1 species